UACGGGGGGAGCAAGCGUUGUUCGGAUUUACUGGGCGUAAAGGGCGCGUAGGCGGCCACCGCAAGUCGGUUGUGAAAUCUCUGGGCUUAACCCAGAAAGGUCAACCGAUACUGCGGGGCUAGAGUGCAGAAGGGGCAACUGGAAUUCUCGGUGUAGCGGUGAAAUGCGUAGAUAUCGAGAGGAACACCUGCGGCGAAGGCGGGUGCUGGGCUGACACUGACGCUGAAGCGCGAAAGCUAGGGGAGCGAACGGG
rnacentral:rRNA from 1 species